GCAGCUAUCUAUGGACAGUAGAGUAUGGGGGCUAUAACCCAUGGAGCAUACAGGAAGACACCCCAAAGGACCACCUCCUGCAGAUCAAUUGCUGUUCAGCGGCCUAAACCUGAACAGCAGGCUGCUGGUUCCGAAGCCCAGAGCGUCCUGGUUUCACAAGAAGCCCCUUCGUAGACCCUGUGGGUUUGGAGGUGCCAGCAGAAGCCAUGGACCAUCUCACCUCUGAGAGGACAGGCAAUAGAUAGGAGAUGGAUGGAUCGAUAGAUGGAUAGAAGAAUGGAUGGAUGGAUGGACAGACAGACAGACCAACAGACAGGCUGAGCCCUGGAGAUGCUCAUGUGAGGCCUGGGCCAGGCUGAGACUGAGCACGGACAUGGUGUUCCCUCCUCGGCCCCUCCUGACCCCUAUCCCAUCUCCAUCCAGCUCACCUGUGCA